rnacentral:rRNA from 1 species
AUUGAACGCUGGCGGCAUGCUUUACACAUGCAAGUCGAACGGUAACAGGGUGCUUGCACCGCUGACGAGUGGCGAACGGGUGAGUAAUGCGUCGGAACGUGCCGAGUAGUGGGGGAUAACGCAGCGAAAGUUGUGCUAAUACCGCAUACGUACUGAGGUAGAAAGUGGGGGACCUUCGGGCCUCACGCUAUUCGAGCGGCCGACGUCUGAUUAGCUAGUAGGUGAGGUAAAGGCUCACCUAGGAGACGAUCAGUAGCGGGUCUGAGAGGAUGAUCCGCCACACUGGGACUGGGACACGGCCCAGACUCCUACGGGAGGCAGCAGUGGGGAAUUUUGGACAAUGGGCGAAAGCCUGAUCCAGCCAUGCCGCGUGUCUGAAGAAGGCCUUCGGGUUGUAAAGGACUUUUGUCAGGGAGGAAAUCCCUAGUGCUAAUAACACUGGGGGAUGACAGUACCUGAAGAAUAAGCACCGGCUAACUACGUGCCAGCAGCCGCCGUAA